GGAAGGGGUGUAUUUAUUAGAUUAAAAACCAAUGCCCUCCGGGGCUCACUGGUGAUUCAUAAUAACUUAACGAAUCGCACGGCCUUGCGCCGGCGAUGGUUCAUUCAAAUUUCUUCCCUAUCAACUUUCGAUGUUUGGGUAUUGGCCAAACAUGGUUGCAACAGGUAACGGAGGGUUAGGGCUCGACCCCGGAGAAGGAGCCUGAGAAACGGCUACCACAUCCAAGGAAGGCAGCAGGCGCGCAAAUUACCCAAUCCCGACACGGGGAGGUAGUGACAAUAAAUACUGAUACGGGGCUCUUUCGGGUCUCGUAAUUGGAAUGAGUACAAUCUAAAUCCCUUAACGAGGAACAAUUGGAGGGCAAGUCUGGUGCCAGCAGCCGCGGUAAU
rnacentral:rRNA from 1 species